CCAAUCAGUUUGAAGUUGUAGAGUUUGGAGGUGGAUGUUACUAAAGGGAGGAAGUUGAUCACAAGUUUUCUUUCAGCAAUUGGUGAGUUACAGUUUUGUUUCACUUUUCAAGGAUGAGUAUCUUUACUUUGAAAAUGAACUGGUCAUAUUUCUAUUGGAAAUGAAGUGAUGUUGCUUCCCAGGUUCUGCGAUCUCUUGUGUUGCUGCAUCCUGAUCUUCUGCUUUGUUGCAUCUCUGUUCUGCCAUCAAGAGGACGUGUCUGUACUUGCUGGGGUAGAAUUCAAAUUGUGAGGGAUGGUUGUGCUUAGAUUUGGUCGCUGCUGGUCGGUUCUUGAGUUCAGCGCAUGAAAACCUGCAACUACUAUCAAGCGAACCACAGGAGGGAGCAGCAGGCAUAGAAGAAAUCCCAAUCCAAUUUUGCUCAGCUGUAGCAUCUUCCACUGACAAUAAGUCUGCACAGCAGCCUGGUGAGGUUUGUUCUUGCAUUUAAAAACAUAAGUCUUUCAGUUGCUCUCUACUCGCUGGUAAAAAAACAUAGUGAAUUUCCUUUAUAAAUACCCAACUGAAGAAUACCUUAGUUAAAUCAAUCAAUAGUGAGUUGUAUUACUAGAGAGUAGAGACGUAAGAAAACGCCCUUAGGUGUGACACUCUACGUGGUUACCUUCUUAGUCCCAGCUAUUGACAUCAUACUGAGAUCACACUCUGCCAAGCGGAAUGUUUGUUUCUAUGUACUUCUGGAUGCUAAUUUACUGUUCUUGAUUUUCAUGGGGAUAUUCCUUUAUUAUUUGGUUACCUGUCAAUGCUCGGUCCUAUUUCCCACCUUGUGCUUUGACUUCUUACAUUUUUUCUGUCUAAGUUAUUAGGCUACUGCUGCCUGGUUUGCGCAUGAUGAACCACUGGUUAUGAUGCACUCCUGGCUGGUCUGCCUUUUUUAUGCUUUUUUAGUGACAACAUUCAGACUUAAUGUUUAUUACUUCAUUUCAGAGU